GGAGGUGGGAAGGAACUUGAUGUGGGCUCAUAGGACUGAGGGGAGGUAUGUAGAGAACUGGAAUUGGCUAAUUGGUCCAAAAAGUGUCUUUGAGAGACCCUGGGACGAAGGCUGAGACCUGGCUACAGGAGGCAGAGGCUGCGUUCAAGAGCACUGGCUGCCCCAGCCCAGGGAAGGGUUGAUGAGGCUGCCCUCCUCCCCAUGUCCCAGGCUGCUGCUCCUCUGUCCAUCCCCACGAACCACGUAAACAGGCAGGAGCGGGGCCCUGUGGCACACUUUAAUUAAGGGAUGGAGACACUGACUUCGCCUUUCCCCAGAGGAUUGCAAAAGGCCCAGGCGGGCCCCAUACUGCAGCUCACGGCCAUCCCUGCUCCGACACGCGCUCUGCCCCCCAUGUUACAACACAGAGCUCUGACUCACCAAGCCGUGCCCAGCCCGCUGCUUCACAGCCUGUAGACAUAGCAGGGAUCCCUCAGAUGGGUGUAGGGAGUCUGUCUCUGUGCUCCACUGCAUGGACCUGGAUGUGGUAGGCAGGACAUGGCACAGUUCUUGGGCCUCUGUAUAGAGCCACAGAGUGAAGACAAUAUUGUGGAGGAGUUAUCCCCUGUUACUGGAGGGUGUGGGAAAGGGCGUGUGACCUCUUCAGAUCCUCUGACCCCAGCAGGCAAUGGCACCAUAGUCCCUUGAUGCUCACUGGCUUCUUUGUGGCUCUGGGAAGCCACUGCCCUAUCUGGCUGAGAUGUGGUGCCAAGGCAGUCCCUUUUCUGCCACACGUGGGUGCUGUCAGGAGCCAGGGCCAGGUAGAGGGGAGCAAUAUAACCCACCACUGCUGCUAAUCCUGCUCCUGGCAGGCAGAGAGGGGACAUGAUAGAGGACCAGGGAAGCCUGCAGUUUGGGAUGCUGGCUGUUCCAGGGAGCCCACAACAUCCGGAGUGGAUCCAGCAUAUUCUCCUGGCUGCCAAGGGCCAGCACUGCUGAUGCCAUGACCCAGGUGCCAGUAUGCACAUCCCUGUCCUUCCUUGCCUGUGUGUUGGAACAAUUUCAACUCAUCCCUAACCCAACUCUGGAUGGCCAGAACCCCAUGGCAAGGUUUAAAGGAAAGCUGAUUAUUGCCUUUCUCUCAAGAGAAGGGUGAGGAGGCCAAUGGGGCAACAUGCUCCUGUGGCCAGGGGAAGACAUCUGUGUUCUAGGGUGUGGGCUCUGUGAAGCUGGAAAACAGUUGUUUCUCUCUCAUCAGUGUUUUCUGGUUUUCCUCCAGUUUGAAGGCUGGUUGUGACUACAAGCUGUGGAUCAGACCCAGAGCAAGGGCCCAUGGCAUGGUGCUUACACACCCACAUCUCGCCCCAGGCCUGGGCCUUUGGCCAGAGACAGGGUUUCACUCCUCAGGGAUCCUGUCCCACUGCUCAAAUGAUGCAUGGAAGAGAUUUAAAAGAAGAGAGGAAGGUGGGAGGGAGGAGGUAAUAACAAUAUGAUCUGAAAAUGACAAUUUUCAUUUACCAACUCAGGAUUUUAAUGAACUAGCUGUUUGAAUAACCAUUUGGACAACUAUUGAAAAAAAAAGGGAAAGAAGAAUGCAUUUGAAAUCCUCAAAAUAGCUCCCCCCUCCACCAACUACAGUAAUUUGCAGAAGAGCAGUUCCUUCAUUUUUUUCCCCCAGCAUACUAGAUGAAACAUUUGAGAGUGUUUGAAGCUGGCAAGAACUGCAUUUCUAGCUACUGAUGUCAUGAAAAUAUAAAUUGGCAGAUUUUUCACGCUGGGUCAAUGUGUAGUGAUAAGCACAAUGCCAUACCUUUAGGAGCAGUAUUUGUUGGUAAACAGAUGGGGAGCAGCCUGUAAUGUCCAUAGUCAAUAAUAAACAGCCAAUGUUCAGUGCUGUGGUGGCUGUCGGAGCAAUAAAUUGAAGAUCUUCCUGGUGGAGCCUGGGCCAUCCUGGGCUGUCACUGUUGAGCAUGUUGUGGGGAAAAUACACAAUGUGGAGAAUCACAAUGAAAAAUUUAGAGAGUGUCCUUGUUCAACGUUCUUCAACUGCCCAUUGACUCAUUUCUGCUGCUCCCGUUUCAAGCAACUGGAGGAAUCCUUCCUAUUUUCCAUGCCAAAUAUAGCAGUUUUUCCAGAAAUGCUCAAACACACAAGCCAGGAAGUUUCCCUUCUCUGGGUGAGUCAUUGGAAGUUCAGGCUGCAUUUUCAUGAUUGCUUCAAGCCGAUCGAAAUCUGUGCUGCUGCCAAAGGAGCCGUCCAGCUCUGCCCAUGUGCGGCCUCCCUCACUGCUUGUGCAUCGAAAGGGAAUUAGGGAACAGACUCUGCCUUUUUUCUUUUUUUUUUUUUUUUUCAAUUUUCAACCAGUUUAUUUGGCCAACUUGUCUCAUGGCUGUGCAGGCUCUAGGGGAGCUUAUCUGGUCUAGAAGAUCUGGUAUAAAGAUGCUCCUUACUUCAGUGGCUAAAAGCAAAAGGGAUGUGGGGGAAAUGCCACCCCUGUGGGGUCACAGUGUCACUCAGCUCAGCUGCAGAGCUUAUGGGCUCUGUGUUCACAUUCCUUGCUCCAGGACGGAAACACAGGGAAGAUCCCUGCCAAGAGAUUUUCUUGGACGGCAUUUCUGAGAUUCUGGACAAGGACUGGGGACAUUGCAACCAAUCUGUAUCUGAGGACUGCCCCCCACUUGUUAAGGAUGCUCAGGAAUCCCAGUAGAACUUCAGUAGAGACACCUGUGAUAGACAGGAUUUUGGAGAAAACAGAUAUUUUAUCACGAUCACUCAUUUCCUACUUCUUUCCUUUACACCUUCCCCAUUUAUUUUACCUACUGUCCAUACUGGUUUCCAAAGAAAAGGAGCCUUUCUCCCA